AUAGCUCUUAUCCCUGGUCAGGGAGAGCUUUGAAUAAUAGAAGGUGUGGGAGUUCAGAAAGUUGGAACUCUCUCUACAAGUGAAUGACUCUAUAGAUCUUGGAUUAAUAUCCACAAUGCAUCAACAUGUUAUGUGAGCAAAGGGAUGACACACAGACUAGCAGGAGAUGGGUUACACAUCUCUUUUAUCUGCCAAUUGCCUUAUCAAAGGACUUUUCCU
rnacentral:lncRNA from 1 species